ACGAGCAGAGAAGAAAAAGGGGCAAGAGAGAGAGAGAAAAGUCAGUAGAAGUGAAUAGUUAUUUAAAUCUUUAAAUGGGCGAUUAGAAGGUAAAAUUAACUUCGUUUUCUUCUAAAUUUUGAGGGUAAGUUCCUGGCAUCGCCUUCUAUAAUCCUACUAGUCUUAAUUUUUAUUUUAUUCUCUCGUUGGCUAUUAUUUGAGAUACCCACUUAUUAGAGAGAUAGUUCUUAAUCUAUUACUAUAAGCCAAAAAUAGUGAGAUUCUAGAUGUUGGUAGCCUCUAGCAUUAUUUAGAGAGCAAUUUGUGUUGUAAUCUCAUUAAUAUAGUGAAAGAUUAUAUCGGACUACGGUCUCGUAGUUUUCCCACUUUAAAUUUUUCACGUAAAAAUCUGUGUCUCUUGUGAUUGAUUUUUACUUUGGAUUUAUUAAUUUAUUUUUCUGCUUAUUUAUUUGUUGUGUAAAUUCUAUUUUAAUCAUAUAAAAGGGAAAUAAUUUUUAUUUCCGCUUAAUUUACAACUAUUUGGUAGUCUCUUUCCCAACAUUCCCCAAAAUAAAAUUGCCCAAACUUCCCAUGGCUGAUGUCCAGUUCAAAAUUUUUUGGCCUUAACACUUGUAAGCUCGCUCGAAAUCGACGGCCUGUAGUGCUUAAAAUGAUGCUUUUAAAUUUAAAGAGAUGAGGGAAAUGGCCGUUGGAUCCACCAAAAUUGAAUUAAAUCAAAGGUUCGGAGUAGCAGAGUACGUGGCAGUUUU
rnacentral:lncRNA from 1 species